UUACAGCACUCCCACCCUAGGCCACCUCAUGGCCCUAGGCAGGGAUGUGAGAUGUAUAAAAGGUGGGCAGGCUCUGAGCAUCCCAAACCCCUGGGCAUCUCCACGCUCCAGCCACUGGCAAACUUGGUUGUGUGUCAACUCAGAAUGUCUCAGCAGAAGCAGAAGCAGUGUGCUCCCCCGCAGCAGUGUGCUCCACCCCAGCAAUGCUGCCCCCCACCUCAGCAAACUAAACAGGCUUGUCAGCCUCCACCCAAGUGCAAGGAACCCUGUGCCCCCAAGUGCCAACAGAAAUGUCCACCCCCUCAACAGUGCCAAAAGUCCAAGCAGAAAUAAGAUCCCAGCAUGUGACCAGAGGCCGAGCCUCCUCGGAAAACAGAGAGCAUGAAGUUCACUGCCCCUCUCUCAAACAGCCAUCUGUCAGCCCCACUCACCCCCAGCUUCUGACUGCAGCCACACUUAGGAAAAGGCAGCACCAGGAUGGCAGCUUCCUCGAUCUCUAUCUCUUAUUAAUUAGCAACUGCAAUUUCCACCUCAGACAAUGAUCUGAUGCUGAACUGUCUAAUCAUCUUCACUGACAUGUAUCUACAUUGCUAUGCCUGCUUUCUGGAAGCUUGAGCAGCAUGCUGGACACCUUUCUUAGCACCCUCCAUUUCUGCUCCUGUUUUCCAAACAAUUAAAUGUAGUUCCUCUGGCAA